rnacentral:rRNA from 1 species
GACGUAGGGCGCGAGCGUUGUCCGGAUUUAUUGGGCGUAAAGAGCUCGUAGGCGGCUUGUCGCGUCGGAUGUGAAAGCCCGGGGCUUAACUCCGGGUCUGCAUUCGAUACGGGCAGGCUAGAGUUCGGUAGGGGAGAUCGGAAUUCCUGGUGUAGCGGUGAAAUGCGCAGAUAUCAGGAGGAACACCGGUGGCGAAGGCGGAUCUCUGGGCCGAUACUGACGCUGAGGAGCGAAAGCGUGGGGAGCAAACAGG